rnacentral:rRNA from 1 species
GAUCAUGGCUCAGGACGAACGCUGGCGGCGUGCCUAAUACAUGCAAGUCGAACGAGAGCGACUGGUGCUUGCACUGGUCAAUCUAGUGGCGAACGGGUGAGUAACACGUGGGUAACCUGCCCAUCAGAGGGGGAUAACAUCCGGAAACGGAUGCUAAAACCGCAUAGGUCUUCGAGCCGCAUGGCUUGAAGUGGAAAAGAGGCGCAAGCUUCUGCUGAUGGAUCGGACCCGCGG